UGGAAGGGAGGUAAUACGUGGGGAAUUUUGGACAAUGGGGGCAACCCUGAUCCAGCCAUGCCGCGUGAGUGAAGAAGGCCUUCGGGUUGGCAGCUCUUUCGGCUGGGAAGAAAUCGCAUCUCCUAAUACGGGGUGUGGAUGACGGUACCAGCAUAAGAAGCACCGGCUAACUACGUGCUCAGGGCCGCGGUAAUACGUAGG
rnacentral:rRNA from 1 species